AUAAACAUUAAUACCAAACAAAACAAACGAAACAUAAUAUAAACAAGAAAUACACAAAAUAAAAUAUUGUUUCAUAAUUUAGAGAGGAGCCUUAGAAAUGCAAGUAAUCAAAAGAUGAGAAGAAUAAAAAUCAAAAAAAAAAAAAAAUGCAAACAUUUUGUUCCCAAAAGGAUAACAGGAGACAAGCCACAAGCUAAACAAGCUUUUUCGAAAGGCACAAGUUUUGGGCAAACAAAAUUUUUUCCUUUUUUAUUCAAGACUACCUCUACCACCACAAGCAAGCUCCUCAAAUGGCUGCAGGCAGUAGCAGUAGCAGAAACCGAAGAAUGAGGAAUCGGAAUUGGAAUCGGAAUUACAACGAAAAUAUGCCAGAGAUCGAAUAGAAGAAAAACGCAGUGGAAUCACACCACACAAAAUAAAUUCAUGUCUUUUCUAUACCACUUAAAUAAAAGAAAUUCACUCUUUUUUUUUUUAUUUUACAAAUAAAUAAACUUUUUCAUUUGCUGAAUACUCUUUUUUUUUUUGUAAUUUUAAAUUUUCUCAACCACAGACUAAAAAAACAGAGCUACAGAUACACGAAAGAUGUUUAGGGUGAAUUUUGGCAAACAAAAAAAAAAAAGAAAGAAAUAUCUCAACGAAACGAUAAAUAGUAGAUGA